rnacentral:lncRNA from 1 species
UGCAUCCGGGGAUUUGCUGCAGGAAUUACUCUGGGGAUUUGCUCAAGGAUCGGAAAUCCAGAGUCAGCAUCUUCGAAGCAGAUAACAUCUCUUCCCAAUCGCCGGUACGCCGAAUUUUUACAUGAACCGGACUCCGAGACGAGAAAUUAUGGACAUGCUUAUUCGACGGAGGACAUGCCGGGGUUUGUUGUUGCAAAAAUGGAACGGACUGCUAGAACAAAGCGAUGGGAAAUUAAAAAAAAUAUUUUGUGAAAUUUCAAGUGUAUAUGUGUAUGGAAUCAAUAAAAAUAAAGUUUUGCACAUCGAUUGCUCAACGUAAA